rnacentral:rRNA from 1 species
UACGGAGGGUGCAAGCGUUAUCCGGAUUCACUGGGUUUAAAGGGUGCGUAGGCGGGCUAGUAAGUCUGUUGUGAAAUCUCCGGGCUUAACCCGGAAAUUGCGGUGGAUACUAUUAGUCUUGAAUACUGUGGAGGUUAGCGGAAUAUGUCAUGUAGCGGUGAAAUGCAUAGAUAUGACAUAGAACACCAAUUGCGAAGGCAGCUCGCUACACAAAUAUUGACGCUGAGGCACGAAAGCGUGGGGGAUCAAACAGGA